GGCUGGUGGAUGGAGAGGAUCUAUUCAAUUCAAUUUCAAUUCAAUUCACGUUUAUUUGUAUAAAGCUUUUUACAAUAGACAUUGUCUCAAAGCAGCUUUACAGAACAUAGAGCAGAAGCUAAACAUAAUUAAUGAUAAAGGAAAUAACGAAAUAAUAAAAGAAAAAGAAUUGACAGAAUAAAAAAUUCUAGAUUAUUAUUAGAUAUAAAUAGUUCACAAUCUGUAUGUAUUUAUCCCCCUAUGAGCAAGUCUGAGGUGACUCAGGCAGCAGUGGCAAGGAAAAACUCCCUUAAAUUGGUAACGUAAGAAACCUUGAGGACUUAAGGGGGACCCAUCCUCAUAUGGGUGACACUGGGGGUGUGAUUAUAAUAUACAGUCAGAUAAAUGUUGUAUUGGUGUAAGGAUCAUGGACUUCGGAUCUCCUUAGUAUCACAGACUACUGACUACAGUCAGUCCAGUGAUUCUGGUGACACAGAGAUAGAGGAGAUUCCACCAUUAGUUCACCAAAUAUGAAUCAAAUCUUACCUCAUCUAGGAGCAGGAGCUCCUUAGCUUCGAUCUCCUGAGACAGGACAGCUCCCAGUUCUGUCAGAGGCUUCAGUGUAGACAACGAAGGGGUAGUCGAAGAAUCCUCUAUAGCCUAUAACCCAAUAAGGCCGCUGAGGAACCACUGUCCCAGGAGGGGUAUUGAUCUCAUGAUGGAUGAUAUGCGCGUGGCCUGGCAGAGAAGAUGUCGUGGUGACCGUUGUUGACCGUGCCAAGGAAUGUAUAGGGGCCCUGCCACUUGAAUUUGCAGGCUGCAUUGGGGACGAGCAGCAGAACCCAGUCUCCCAUGUUGAAUUUGCAGGGCUGUGCGGAAUAGUUCUAGGAAUGCUGUAGGUCUCGUUGGACUGCCUCCAUGUAUUCCCAACAAUUGGGCUGAUGUGGUCAAUGUGGUCCUGCAUGUCCUGCACGAGCUCGACGAUGGAGCCGAAGGGCAAGAGUUGAUUGAUCCAGGCCUCCCAGGCCACGUCUAACAGUCCCUGAGGUUACUGUUCAAAUAAUAAUUCAAAGGAGGUAAAACCAACUGUCAGGGCAGGACCCAAAUACAACAACACCAGAUAAAGUAAGGCAAUUUUAUGAACAGCAAAGAACUAAAGUCGUGGGCAAGUCACUAGGUGGGAUGCGAUGGUCCGUCCCCCUUAUCUCUCCCCCUAAGCGGGCUAAGUGAUGUCCAGAGCUGAGCAGAAGGGCAAAAUGACAACCCCAGGCAAGCCGUGGCCCGACCCAUGUUCUGAAAGGGUGGGGAUAAAAACCCUCCAAUGGCCGGUAUUAUGCCACUUUCUCCACAGGAGCAAGGAAAAGUCCACUAAAACAGAAAAAGGCAAAAUACACAGGGCCUGCAACAUCCCCUGCUGGCAAGAAGUGAGACGGCUUCCUUCACGGGAAACUAUGAAGUGAAGCGGCGUCCCCCACAGGAACAGGUCUAGAGUGAAGUCCAGUGAAGAAGCCCAUAAGUCCAUAAAAUAAAAUAAACAUAAAUCCCAAAAGGCCAGAAACAAGUAAUCCAGAGAAGAUGCUCCACGAAUGUUAGGCACCAGGCAUAAAGUUAUCCUGCUGGGUCUAUGACUGGCUGAGUCCUCCUGCCAGAGAAGUGGAUGUCUUCAUAGAGAUUAAAAGCCCCAAAUGCAGAGAUAAAAUGGGUUGUUUUAAUUUAAAAAUAAAGAAGCUACAAAUACGGCAAACCAUAGGGAAGACAGGACGACUGAAAAACAAACCAGGAAGCCAGGACACAACAACAACACAAAAACAAACAAUGAGAGAAACACAUCGAGGCAGGUUGGGAGAAGAGAGGAAUACACGAGGCAGGUGGGGAAUUGCGGAACACGGCGAGGCAGGUGGGGGAAGCGCAAAACAUGGUGGCACAGCCAGAGGGGAAUGAGAGACAUCCACAGCCAAACAAAUGGGCCAAGCAACGUUCGCAGCCAUGCAGAAGGGCCAAGCGACGACCACAGCCGAGCCGUGGCCAGACGCAUGUCCGGAAAGGGCGGAAGGGAGGGAGGGAGCGAGUAAAAACUCUACCAAAGGCUGGUACCAUGCCACUUCCAUCAGGAGAUAGAAAAAGUCCACAAAAAUGGAAAAAGGCAAAAGACACAGUUCUGCAGCAUGCCCUGUGCAAGAAGUGAGGCUACAUCUCUCACAGAAACAGGUGCGGCUCGAAGUCCACCAAUGAAACCCAGAAGUCCAGAAAAUAAAAUAAACAAAAAUCCCAGAAGGACAGAAAAGAGUAAUCCAGAGAAGAUGCUCCACGAAUAAUAGGCACCAGGCAUAUAUUUACUAUGCUGGGUCUAUGUCUGGCUGAGUCCUAUGUCACCCCACUUGCCUCACCAUGUUCCUCACUUCCCCCACCUGCGUCAUCAUGUUCCUUGCUUCCCUCACACCUACCGGCACAAGACAACAGGUAUAUAUAAGGAGGAUAAUUACAGAAACACAAGGUACAAUUAGGGAGGAGAGAGAGGAACACGGUGAGGCAGGUUGGGGAAGUGAGGAACACGGCAAGGCAGGGUGGGGGGAAGCAUCCACAGCUGAGCAGAAGGGACAAGCGACACCUAGAGGCGAGCAGAAGGGCCAAGUGACACCCAGAGCUGAGCUGAAGGGUCGAGCGAGGCCCCCAGCCAAGCCGUGGCCUGACCCAAGUCUCAAAAGUGAUGGAGAGAGGGAAAAAAAACACCCCGCCAAAAGCCAGAACCGUGCCACUUCCACCACUAGAGGAGGAAAACGUCCACAAAAACAAAAACAAAAAAAGGCAAAAGAUAUAGGCCUGCAACAUCCCCCGCAGUCAAAAAGUGAUACGGCCUUAAGCCAUGUUUGUUUAAAAAGUUUAAAUAUAUUAGGUAAAGAUAGUUCAAAAUGCUGUGUGUUUAAACAUUGUAAAAUAUUGUGUGAAUAGAGUAAAAAAUAUUUUGUGUACAAAAUACUGCAGAAUAUGUGUAUAGAAAGUGUAAAUUCUAUACACUUCCUUACAGCCUUCCAGAACCAAACAUUACAAUUUAAUGAUGUAACUAAAAAUAAGUGCUUUGUUUUGCUGUGAAGAAGAUCCAAAAAGUGUGAAGCAAUGCGAGAUUCUGUAUAAUACUCCCUAAUUUUAUGGUAUGAAAAUGAAUGCUUUUUGUUUAAAAUUAAUAAAAAAUUUUACCCCAUUAAUUUUAAACAAAAAGCAUUCAUUUCACUUGUACACAGUGUUCAUGGUUUAAACUUCCAUUGCUCUGAUAGACCAUAAAAUCUAUAGUUGAAUUUAGAAAUGAAUGUUAAUUUGAUUUUAAGCGUGAUAUAAUUAUUAAUAUAGUUGAACUCUCCUCAUUCAGUAACUCAUUGAUUUAACCAGCAGGUGGCAGUGUCUGAUAAGUAAAUCUUCCAGCAUCCAGCCUUUUUAUGCAGGUUAAAUAAACGUAGAUCUGGAAAACAGUGAAAAAAACAUAAAUAAACAAACAAACAAACAAACAAAUAAAUAAAUAAAUAAAAUCAUGUGCUUUUAAUAUCAAAUGCAUUUAAGCAGUGUAAAAACUGCAGAUGGAACUGAGUUAGUGCCUCGGUGAGGAACAGUAGAUAGAUCUGUGUUGUCAUGCCAAGCACCCAAAGCAGUACUGUAAAGAUCAAACACACGAUAUAAUGCACAAAUAUGGAAUUCUCUGUGUCUCUUUUCGACUGCACAGCACUGUGUUAGCAAUAUGCUCUGCGGCAGAGGCCCAAAAUGAAACCCCAGCUAAAGAAAGUCUGCUAAUGCAGCAUGUAAUUGGCCCGAUGGCUCUUGUGUGCUAUUCGGCAUCUUCGGAUUAUGAGCUCUGAGCCCUGCAGUGCUCUCCAUCAUGCAUUGCUUCUCUUUACCCCUGCUGUAAAACCAAGCACAUGAGAUAUAUGAGUGUUUUUGAUGGAUAAAAUCUGCACUAGUUGGUCCUCAAGCAAUAGAAUAGAAACAAUAAAAAUCCCCAGAGGAUCCAACUGCACUCCAACAAUUUAGCAAGAGUGUAUAAAUGUUGAGUAUCUGCACCCAAGUGGCUUUAAAUCCUGGAUUACGUUCAAAUGCAGUAUCGAGGCAGACAUCUUAACCAACAGCUUGAUCUAUAUAUAAAGUCUUUAGCAGGGGAAGACAGAAGAGGAGGCUUUAUAAAGUAAUAAUUCUAGCACUUUUAAGACUUUUAACAUUGGUCUUUUAUCUUUAGCCUUUAAGUGACUAAAAGGCCGAAGUCUGUUUGUAGAGUUAAAUGAUAAAAUAUAAACAGCAGGAACACUUCCUAACAGUACUCUGUAUAUUGAAAUUGACAUUUUUUUUCAUGACAAAAUGAUCCCUGAAGUAUAUCAUAUGAUAUACUGAAUUAAAACAGUAAAGUGAUAGCUCACUGUUUUUUUCACAAGCUACAAAAAAAAAAAAAGAGAGUUAAAAACUACAGUGUUGGUUUGCAGGGCAACUGAAUCAUUUCCACCCUGAAGUGACACUAUGUGAUGACUAACUCGCUUCAGCUAGUGAUUCAUGAAACAAGCGCCCAUUUUCCGCCUCUCCUCCCACCUCCAUUUUAUUUUCUCCAUCUCUCUAAUUCCUCUUCUGCUUUUCAUGCUUAGAUGUUUCACAGACCUGACAGACAUGGAGAGAAACACUGCAUAUGUUUCCCCCAUGCUCGUUAACAUCAGAACAACGGAGGCGAAUGAAAAUUUUUUUAAAAAUAUUUAAUUAGAGUGGUUUUUAAACUUUAAUAUGUCACAAGAAUGUCAGUACAUUAAUAUUCCAGAUGGUGGAAAUGAUGAUGGUCACAGCCAGGAUUUCGGGACAUACCUUAGUCCUCUUUGUAAAUAGAAGCUGUGAGGAAUAUGAGAUGUGUUUGCUGUUAUGUAAUAUGCUGCUGAUCCAUAUCAUUGUCCUGAUGUGUAAUCAUGUAAGUCAUGUCAACGAUGUCACCUGUCAUUCAAGAAUCUCACUAGAAUCUCACGAGUUAUCACUUACUGUAUUAUUUAAUGUUAUUAUAGUGUUCAGUUCUUUUAUUAUUAGAUUCACAUUUGCUUUCCAUUUAGUUGUCAUUCCUUUAACAACCAGAAAAUGCUGCUGUUUUUGCUUUUUUGUUUUAUUCUUAUUCUUAUUCUUAUUUUACUAAAAGUAGUAUUAAUAAAAAAACAUUAAUUUUCAUUUAUUUUAUUACUAAUUUUGUUUUAAUGUAUGAUGUUUUGUUGUAAUGUAUAGAUUAUACUUUGUUCUUUUCAUGUUUAAAGUGAUGUAAGAACGAGUUAAUACGUGGUCACUGAAUUAGUGACUUUGCAUUUCCAUUGUUUAGCUGUAAAGAAAUGAGUUGUGUAAGUUGUGUUAGUGUUGUAUGGAGCGCUGCUCUUAUAGGGAGCAGCGCUCACACACACACACACACACACACACACACACACACACACACACACACACACACACACACACACACACACACACACACACACACACACAG